AGUGAACGCUGGCGGUAGGCCUAACACAUGCAAGUCGAACGGCAGCACAGUAAGAGCUUGCUCUUACGGGUGGCGAGUGGCGGACGGGUGAGGAAUACAUCGGAAUCUACUUUUUCGUGGGGGAUAACGUAGGGAAACUUACGCUAAUACCGCAUACGACCUACGGGUGAAAGCAGGGGAUCUUCGUACCUUGCGCGAUUGAAUGAGCCGAUGUCGGAUUAGCUAGUUGUCGGGGUAAAGGCCCACCAAGGCGACGAUCCGUAGCUGGUCUGAGAGGAUGAUCAGCCACACUGGAACUGAGACACGGUCCAGACUCCUACGGGAGGCAGCAGUGGGGAAUAUUGGACAAUGGGCGCAAGCCUGAUCCAGCCAUACCGCGUGGGUGAAGAAGGCCUUCGGGUUGUAAAGCCCUUUUGUUGGGAAAGAAAAGCAGCAGGUUAAUACCCCGCUGUUCUGACGGUACCCAAAGAAUAAGCACCGGCUAACUUCGUG
rnacentral:rRNA from 1 species